AGCGUAUAGAUUUACUUUGAUCCAUUCAACGUUUUAAACGAUAUUAAGCGGCGUGUAUCGCAUAACAAAAUAUCAACUCAAUAGAACCAGUCUACAAAUAAUUAUUAUGAAGUAAUCGUAUGUCCAAUGGAAACUUCUAAUUACCGUAACAUCUGCUGUUCUCGAGUAUAAAUCCCUAAAUAAAAGUAUUUGGCACAUCACUACCGUACGCAUCGCGUCUCCUUAGUGUGUGCCGAGGUCCAUCAGCAGUUGUAUGACUCUUAUGUUAGUGUACCACCAAUGAAGCACGAUAGGAAAACCCAAAAAGACCAAAGAGGAAGUUAAAGAAAAUAGAAGCAAUCAUCGAGAACGAAAAAGCAAUCAAAAAAAAAAUAAAGGAGAAAGAAGGGUACAAUAAAAAAAAGUAAAAAAAUACUGCCUUUCUGCGAAAUGCCACCAAAAGCCGGAAGAAAACUCAAAAAAGAAGUAGAGAAAUUUCAGAACUUAAUAUAAAAGACAAAAGGAAAAGGGAAAAUUGAAAACAAUCGACGAAGAAGGGACCUUAGAUAUAGAGGUGCUUGAUAACAAUAUAACAGAUCCUCUUGAAACUCUGUCACACCACAU
rnacentral:misc_RNA from 1 species